AUGCCGACAUUCUGCGGUGGUGGCUGGAUAUGUUCUGUGGCUGGACAUUUUUCGGUGAUGGAUUUAUCGUCGGUGGUCGAUCGCGGUGGUCAGUGUCAGUACAUGUUCGGUGAAACAACUGAAUUGUUAUUAAUGUUGUCAAUAGAAUUAGUUCAAGAAUUCAAAAAAAGGAACUUGUCUCAGAAUGAGCUCAGCAAAUUGGGAUAUCUAAAUAGUGGUCUUCCACAAGACAAAACAACACCUUAG